UACGGAGGAUGCGAGCGUUAUCCGGAUUUAUUGGGUUUAAAGGGUGCGUAGGCGGAUCGUUAAGUCAGUGGUCAAAUUGAGGGGCUCAACCCCUUCCCGCCAUUGAAACUGGCGAUCUUGAGUGGAAGAGAAGUAUGCGGAAUGCGUGGUGUAGCGGUGAAAUGCAUAGAUAUCACGCAGAACCCCGAUUGCGAAGGCAGCAUGCCGGCUUCCGACUGACGCUGAAGCACGAGAGCGUGGGGAUCGAACAGG
rnacentral:rRNA from 1 species